rnacentral:rRNA from 1 species
UACGGAGGGUGCAAGCGUUGUUCGGAAUCACUGGGCGUAAAGCGCGUGUAGGUGGUCUUUUAAGUCUGGUGUGAAAGCCCGGGGCUCACCCCCGGAAGGGCACUGGAUACUGGGAGACUAGAGUACCGGAGAGGAAGGUGGAAUUCCUGGUGUAGCGGUGAAAUGCGUAGAUAUCAGGAGGAACACCGGUGGCGAAGGCGGCCUUCUGGACGGCUACUGACACUGAGACGCGAAAACGUGGGGAGCAAACAGG